UACGUAGGGUGCGAGCGUUAAUCGGAAUUACUGGGCGUAAAGUGUGCGCAGGCGGCAGAGCAAGUCGAGUGUGAAAGCCCCGGGCUUAACUUGGGAAUUGCGCUCGAAACUACUUUGCUGGAGUGUGGCAGAGGAAGGUGGAAUUCCACGUGUAGCGGUGAAAUGCGUAGUGAUGUGGAGGAACACCAAUGGCGAAGGCAGCCUUCUGGGCCAACACUGACGCUCAUGCACGAAAGCGUGGGGAGCAAACAGG
rnacentral:rRNA from 1 species